UCUUUUUUGAGACAGGGCUUUUCUGUUCUGGAACUUGCUCUGCAGACCAGGCUGGCCUUGAACUCACAGAGACCUGCCUGCCUCUGCCUGUGGGGCUAAAGGACUGUACCACCACACCUAGCUGGGUAUUUUCUUGCAUCACUGAACUUCCCUUCUGUUUCUCAGAGAAGCCUGGGCUGCCAUCUAGGCACCUGAAGACCAUGGCAGCAGAUGAGACCUCGCCCUCCUGCAGCGGCUCCUGCCCUAGCACAUUCCCUGGGAAUGUCCCUUGCGUUGUCUGGAGCCUGAGCACUCCACCCUGGCAGAGCUCUGGAGACUUCUUUUUAUUAGCAUUUGUUCCUCUUCCUCUUCCUCCCCUUAACUCUUCUUUAGCUCUCUCACUGCUUCUUGAGGUCUCAGCUAUGUACCCUACGCUGAUCUUAAAAUGUUUUUUGGGAGGUUUGUUGGGACAGAGUCCCUCGUGUGGUCCUGGCUGGUUUGAAACUUUACAUUGAGAACAGCUGACCUCGAUCCUGUGGCCGUCCUCUUGCACUCUGGUAGACAAACAGAGCCCUGGGCAGGCCGGACAGGGCUCCACCACCAGGGAGCCCUCAGCCCCCAGCCUCAUGUGUGGACAUGUUGUAGGGCUCCUGUCUGCAUAGUUCCCUUCUUGUCUUUAGACUUGGCCUCGACCACCAUCCUUCCCCACCUCUCCAAGUUCCAUUCUCCAUCUCCUCAGCUCUGUACUGCCUGCUCACAAUUGUUCCUUGCAGCCCAGAAGUGGCUUCCAUUCAGAUGACCUGGUAACCUAGAGUUGGCCUCUGCCCCUCUACCCAGGGUGCUGGCAGUGAUGCCCGUCCUCCUAUCUGCACACAGCUGCUUGGUGUCUCGGUGAAUCUGGUUCUUAUCACCACAGCUUGCUAAGCAGGAGUGAGUGCCAGACAUUCUAUGGCCCUAGAAUAAAUACCACUAAAAAGCAAGCCGAUGUGAUUAUUUCUAAAUGUAUUUGCUUUGUUUUAGAAGUGACUUCAACAUGUUGCUUUCCUGAAUGGCUGUCAUCAUUUCCUCAUAACCAUUUCAAAAAACCAACAGAUCUCUGAGGCACUGAGCCUCAGCAUUGUGGAGUCUCCUCUGCCCUGAAGGAAUUCAGCAAGGCAGCAAACAGGCUGCUCGUUCACUUCAGGAUCUGCACAGCUCCAAGGCACGGGUCUGCUGUGUUUCAUCCGUCAACGGGACUGAAUUGGCUUGUGGGAAGGACGAAGCGGAAUGAACAUUGCUGUGACUCCCGUGGCAGAGACACAAGUCCUCGGCACGUGAGGAAGACCUCCUACUCCCAACCUCAGCUAAAGGUGGGAGUGAGCGGUGCUGGACACUGGAAGGCUCAAGGAUGAAUAGCUUGCAGGUCAUGACGCUGUUCUGGGGCGCACAAUGGACUGGGUGUAACCUGAGCACCAAGAACAGCAGCGGGCAUGGACUGGAGCCGGCCUGAGCCUAUGGGACCAGCUAGUGUGGCAGAGAGGACAGAGCUGGAGAACUGGGGCUUCCCAAGCCUUGAAGCCCGUCAGGUUGUGAAUGGACCCCAGACACGGGACUCAGUUACUGACACUGCUGAGAUUUGGUUUUGCUCUGACUGUGAACCCCGGUUCUUCACUCUUGGAGUAAAAGAGUAUUUUCUUUUUAAUUGUUUUUAAUUGAGCUAUAUAUUUUUCUCUGCUCCCCUUCCUUUCUCCACUCUCCCCU